rnacentral:tRNA from 1 species
GUAUAAAAAUUACAUUAAAUUGCAAAUUUAA